ensembl:lncRNA
AUCGGGAGCAAACGUUUGAGCUUUAUUGUUGUAUACUUGCAAGGAAGCAGCCGGGUGCACAGCGUGCAUCGGGGAGAGAAAAAUAAAUGCAAUGUUAGUAAAUACGCAAAGCUGAUUUGGGUGUAUCUACAGGAACGCUCAUUUCAGGUCCGGACAAAGAGGUGUGAUGUUCCAUCCAACCACAGACAGGAACGCGGGAUCCUUUCGUCAGUGGUCUUCAUUCACACACCGGUUUGUCUUGACACAAAUGAGCGUGUGUAGGUGUGUGUAUGUGUGCGUGCAUGUCUGGACAUAAAUAAUCACCGUCAAAAUGCAAUGUUUAAGCAAAACCGUGAGGAAAAACCUGCUUUGAAUCAAAUAUAGAAUCAGUUUUCUCUUCUUUUUCCUUUUGCGGAAUAUAACAUAUACGUAUAUGUAACAUUCUCUAUGACGAAGGCCGUAAAUACAUUCACGACAUGAUAUAUUUCCAAGUAAUUAUACGUUGUUGUUAUUAUUAUUAUCUAUGAGACGCAUUACGGUUUGUAGCAACCUUCGCUAUGCUGUACGCUUUAUUUUAUCUAUUAAAAAUGUAUUCGGUUAUAGAUUUACUUUGUACUAGUAUUGGCAAAUACUAUACUUGUAAAUCGUUACUGAGUGUAAAAUGUUGACGGAUGUAUUUGGACUCGAGCUUUAUAAUAAGUUGUAAUCGUGAGCUCGAAAGUAAAAUGAGAUCGAUUUAUUUCUUUUUUUUGUUAUUGUUAUAAUCCUUAGAGUAAUAAAGAUCGAAUAACCAAGCCCACAGCUGACCACGACCGUUUCUUUCGCGUUCCAAGCUCUGCUUGUAACGCAUCGUAGUCAUUGCUGUAAAGUGUAAUACAGCUUCCUGAACAAUUACAACACAUAUAAAGUCUUAUGAACGUGUUUAUAGGUCAUUAUACGUGUAUUUAUGGCCUUCAUAGAAACUGCAUUUCCAGAAAUAUCUUUCAAAACUCUUACAAAUACAAACCCCGUUUCCAAAAAAAGGUUGGGACGCUGUGCGAAAUCCGAUGGGGGGAGGGGGUAGGUUUUCAUUUGAUGGCCGCAACACGUCUCAAAAAUAAGUCGGGGCGGGGGCAACACAAGGCUGGAAAAGUAAGUGUUAUUGAAAAGAAACAGCUGGAGGUUAAUUGGGAACAGGUCAGUAUGAUGAUUGGGUAUAGAAAGAGUAUGUUAGAGAGGCGGAGUCUUUCAGAAGUAAAGAUGGGAGAGAGGUUCACCGAUCUGCGAAAAAACCGCGUCUAUAACAGAAUAAUGUUCCUCCGUGUUAAAUUGCGAAGACUAUGAAUAUCUCAUCAUCUACAGUACAUAAUAUCGUCAAAAGAUUAAGAGAAUCUGGAGAAAUCUCCGUGAUCUUCGGACCCUCGGGCGGCACUGCAUUUAAAAACGGGCGUGAUUCUGUAAUGGACAUCACUGCGUGGUUCAGAAACACCUCCAGAACUCAUCGUCUGUGAACACGGUCAACCACAAACGCUGGUUAAAGUUAUAUCAUGCAAAGAAGAAGCCAUAUGUGAACACGAUCCAGAAACGCCGCCGUCUUCUCUCGGCCAAAGCUCCUUUAAAAUGGACUGAGGCAAAGUGGAAAACUGUUCUGUGGUCAGACGAAUCGAAAUUUUUAAUUCUUUUAAUUGGAAACCAUGGACUAGCCUAAUUAUUUGUUCUUCCAGCUGUUUCUUUUUAUUAACAUUUACUUUUCC